AUUUUAUUUUGCUCUUCGGUCUGCACCCGUUUCUUUGGAGGUUGGGAUGCCUUUCGCCGCAAUGUCGUCGUACUCUGGAGGCUACUUGGUUGAUCCCAAUCAUUAUGGACAUGUGGACUUUGCUGUGAGCGGGGGCAGAUGUAGUGACAGCCGAGAGGCCCUCUCUCCUCGUUGGGAUGGGCACCACUCUGGAGGGAUUCCGCAUAGGUCGAAUGGUGGAGAAACGUGGAAUGCUUUUUUGUUAUUUUCUUGGAAAUGGUAGUGGCUUGCAUUGGCACAAAACUUUUUCAUGCCUUCGAUGCGAUGUGAAGUUGGUUCCCCUUUUAAAACUUUUUUUUAAUAUUAGUUUGCAUCUCAUUAGCAG
rnacentral:lncRNA from 1 species